rnacentral:rRNA from 1 species
UACGGAGGGGGCAAGCUUUAUCCGGAAUUAUUGGGCGUAAAGCGUCCGUAGGUGGGUGAGGAAGUCUGCUGUUAAAGAGUGAGGCUUAACCUCAUAAGGGCAGUGGAAACUCUUCGUCUAGAGUGCGACAGGGGCAAGGGGAAUUCCUAGUGUAGCGGUGAAAUGCGUAGAGAUUAGGAAGAACACCAGCGGCGAAAGCGCGCUACUGGGCCAUUACUGACACUCAUGGACGAAAGCUAGGGGAGCGAACAGG